GUCAUCAGAAGUUGACUGUGGCUGGGAAGCGGAUCUUUUGAUCUACCGGGGAAAUAGAUUUUUCUAAGCCAAAGACCAAAAAAUAUGCAUUACAAAAGAAUGUUUGGUUCGACUGAAUCAGAAUGCGCUGUGGGAUGAUAAAAAAACAGCCGUGGGUGUCCAACCCCUGUCCUGCACGCAGGGUGAGGGCCCCCCCCAGCUUCAUUUGUAGCCCCAUCCCAGCGUCACACUGCCGGGGCCGAGCCGUGAGUGGGACCUCCUCCACGAGAUUCCAGGCCAGCAGGAGUUAAUGAAAGCCAGGAAGUGCAGGUGGACCAGUCCUCUCCAAUUUGGUGGCUGUGGCUCAGUCAUGAAACGCACACGAGUUGGAUGUGAAAUAUAAACAAUACUCUUAUGGUCAUGGUUUUCCUCAUCAUAUCCCCAAGCAUGAUGUAAGGCAGGAGUCCGCAACCAUCAGGCAACACACUCACACAUUCUCUAUCACUUGUCCAUUGUUUUGUAUGUGGUGGAGAUGGUCAUCCAUACGUGUUCCACAGCGGAUUAAGAUGCAAGCGUGGUAGCCAUUGUCAACACAUCCACAGUGUGGAGUGAUAUGACGGAGGAAAGUAAGGGGAAGUCUGAUUUUUAUCGAGGGAGCAUUUUUGUGAUGCAAAUGUUUGACUCUUGUCAAUGCAUAUUGUUUUGGAACUCUUUACAUAAGUGCCCAAGCAACGUUUCUCAUCACCGAAAUCGGUUCAGAAGAAGACUCAAGAGACCAAGAGGGGUGUAAGUCGCUGUUGAUACACUACACUGCUG